rnacentral:rRNA from 1 species
GACGUAGGGCGCGAGCGUUGUCCGGAAUUAUUGGGCGUAAAGAGCUCGUAGGCGGUGUGUCGCGUCGGCCGUGAAAACCUGUAGCUUAACUGUGGGCUUGCGGUCGAUACGGGCAUCACUGGAGUUCGGCAGGGGAGACUGGAAUUCCUGGUGUAGCGGUGAAAUGCGCAGAUAUCAGGAGGAACCCCGGUGGCGGAGGCGGGUCUCUGGGCCGAUACUGACGCUGAGGAGCGAAAGCGUGGGGAGCGAACAGG